AAUCCCAGUGUCAUUGAGGAUUCCGAUUCCAGCUGAGGCGAAGUUGGCACCGACUAGGAGUCGCUCUCCUGCGAGCUGUGGGCUCAAGUAUGGCAAGGUUGACUCUGCUCCAAUUGCCUCGCCUGCAGUAAACAGUACAUAACAGUUCUUAUUAUGUGCUUCUAAAUUUUUGUAACACUGUAAAAUGCAAAAUACUGACACGUAUACUAAAAAAAAGCAGACUUGGGGGCCGUUUGGACAAACUUAAAAAAAGUGACUUCUUGCUUAAAGUAAAGAAGUGGAUUAGAAGUGAGAAGUAAAUAAAUUAAUAAAGUGUUUGGAAAAGAAAUAGAAGCUCAGAGAGAGAAGAUAGCAUUCUCAAUUUCUUAAAAGUGCUUCUACUUGUUUAAACAAACAAGUAACACUAGUUUUAGCAAGAAAAGCAGAUUCCAAAAGCAGAAGCUGCUUCUGUGAAACAAACAGCUUAAUUUGAAAAUAAAAGAAAGAAAGUAAGAUGCAUAGGACGUACUAAUGAGAUCAGGGAUGUUAAGGCCAUUAGAGAAGCGUCCAGUAGGACGGUGAGUAGGAUAAUCAAUGCCAUAAGGCGGUGAGUCAGCGCGGGCAGUGGUGGCAAGGUAGUCAUUAUUGCCAUUGUCCACCAGGGAAUCUCCAAAAACGAAGAAGGCCCUGGCAGCCUCAGCCUGAGGGGCAGCAAUUAAAAGGGCAGCACAUGAAAGUACAAGAAAGAUGGAAGACAGAGUGAGUGAUGAAGAAGUAUCCAUGACAGAGUGUGUGUGUGUGUGUGUGAGUGUGUAUCUCUGUCGUCCUUCUCUGCUAAACUGAUGAUGAAUGAAUGUAUUGGCAGACUAUGGUUUAUAUAUAUGAUGACAAGCUGCAGUGGGUGUCUCUGCAUUAAAUGUCUUCUCCUACCACCAUUAGCUAGAUAGGAAUACAUCACUUAAUGAGGACCACAUUGCCUUGUUUACAGCUCAAGCUACACCAUCUUUUUGCUUACUUGUCUCUAAUGGAACACAUUUCUUAACUACACCAUAACAAGAACCUCUUAUCAUCUAGGCUUAAGCUCCAUGCCAGCUACAACAUUGCAACCACAGAGCAAGUUUAACGUUAUGGAUCCCUAAUCACUCACAGCCUCUGCUGCAACUUACCCUACUAGUCUAGUACUACUGGAAUCAAACAUACAUCGUUACACUACAUUCAACUAUUUGGUAUUAACAAAUUUUAUACUCCCUCCGCCCCUCUAUUUUUUACAUCGGUGAAGGGGAUUCGACACGCAUUUUAAUUUUAAGACUCUCACAAAAUAUAAUUUGAUAAAUAACUUUAAAUAUUUUUCUUAUAAAUAAAUAUUUAAUGUUUAAAUUUUUAUACAUAAUAAGAAAUCUUUUAAAUAAAGUUACAAACAUAUACUUUAUAUGCAACUUAAAAUACUUGUUACGUCGUUGAAAAAAAUGAGAGAAACAUAGAGAUUUAUACUGUGUACGGAAAAUAUACUUAUAUGAUAUAAAAUUUAAAUUAUCAAAAAUAUAAUAAAAAAUAUGAAUUAUUUAACUUGUCGAGUCGAAUCAGGAUAUAUUAAUUACUUUAUCACAUUUGAAGUUAUACAUCUUAUCAGUUCCGCCUUAAACAUGUUUUCUAGAUUUUAAAUAAUUCCGCUAAGAACUUAUCAUAGACAUUUUUGAUUUGCAGGUGUCUUUUUGGUUGAUGCAGACGAGGUUAACAUGCUAAUGACAUAGACAGCUAUAUAUUCUAGCUAAUAAGUGUUUGGUCACAUUAGAAUCAAGAAAUGAAAGCUGAUAGAUUACAGGUUGUGAUUUGAGCAUUGUUU
rnacentral:lncRNA from 1 species